AUUCGGUAGUCGGGUUAGCCCUUUUUUUUUUUUUGGAAAAAUGUUUAAUCUCUUAAUUUCGACUUUAAGUUAUUUUGAGCUUCCUUAAAUUCGUGUUAAAAAGGAGUAAAAGUCAAUUUUGUUCUUAAACUAGGAGUUUGAAAUCUAAAUUCUUUUUUGGUAUAGUUUUUUUUUCCCUAAUUUUUAAAAACGGUGUAACGUAUGUAGUCGUAGUCCUAGCCUCCUCUGGCCUCCUUUUGAUUCGGACAAACCUUUGGGAUCGACGAAUGGAGGCAACUCUGGCAUACGAUUGGCUUAACAUCUCCUCUGCAUAACCCCCAUCGUUUUAACUUUCUGGUGGUUUUGUCGGUGAGGGAGAUUAUUGUAGAAACCAUGCAGUCAAUUUGAGCGUUGGAAGCGAGAUCCGAGAGAAGGAUAUUAAGGUUGGCUUGGUACGUACUUGUCUAUGUAUUGUUGCCAUUGAAAUCGAAGCAUCUGUAAAAUCUGAAGUUAGGAGGCUGAGCGGUGAGGGAGGUGAGAUGAGAAAUGAACGAAAGCAGAACCAGAGAAAAGGUUAACAUUGCAGUUUGCAGGUCAGAUCAGACUGGUUGGUGAAGACGAGCUUCGUUCAAAAUAAAUGGAGGAAGGUGUAUAGGUUUGAGGAAUUGAGGCAUGACCUGCGUCAAUUUCAGCAUUACGAAGGAAGGUGGAAUUAAUGGGACUGAAAUGGUAGAAAACCAAAGAGGUACACAGUAACGGUAGCUGUCACAAGCACAACGAGAGGAAGUUUCUAGUGCUUAUUCUGACCCUAAACAUACUCAACUUGUAAAGAAUAAGCAAAUACUUGCCUUGCAUCCACCUCUUAAGUAUAAGUUGUUUUGAGACCAGUGGGAUGUGACUGAUGGUGGUAGAAGACAAAACGAAGCACACCGUAUUGGCAGCUGUCUUUGGCACGAGGUGGGGUUUCUACUUUUGCCGACUUGCUCUUCUUGUUGCCCGAAAAGGCAGAAGAUUUAAGAGUCAAUUUGGUACAUCAUCUCUGACCCGACAGAGACAGAUAUAGGAGGCAAUACAAUUGAAUCAUCAAGGCAGCCACCAUGUAAAAGAAGGUUCUUAUCAAAUGAAGAAUGUGUCGCCAUUUGUAAGAUUUUGUUACACUCAAGUUGUGGAGGUAAAUUGAGCAGCAUUGCAAUAAGAGAAAUAGCUUUAGCAUACUCAGUUUCAAUAAGAGUGAUUCAAAAUAUUUGGAAUCAAGUUAAGGAAAUAGGUGAUGCAACUCAUAGAAAGAUAAAUAGGUGUGGAAGAAAGGGACAUAAUGUG